UGGUACUAAAGUUAUUCAAUAAACGAGUAAAUAUUCACUUAUCACUCAAAACCCUAAUUGAGUAUUACAAUUUUCAACUAUUAGAACAAAUUACGAAGUAAAAUGCGUAGGAAAUAUGCUUCCGCUACUUAUGUCAUUAACAAUGAGAAGGUCGACCGCGAAGAAGGUCAAAUGUGGAAUUCCUAAAGGAUCACUAAAAAUAUGUUGAAAAAAAGUUACAAUCUAGUCAUAUGAAGCAGGAAAAUUUAAUUGUAUACAUCAAUAAAUCAUUUUAUUUC